AUACGGAGGGUGCAAGCGUUAUCCGGAAUCAUUGGGUUUAAAGGGUCCGUAGGCGGACUAAUAAGUCAGGGGUGAAAUCCCACAGCUUAACUGUGGAACUGCCUUUGAUACUGUUAGUCUUGAGUUAUAUGGAAGUAGAUAGAAUGUGUAGUGUAGCGGUGAAAUGCUUAGAGAUUACACAGAAUACCGAUUGCGAAGGCAGUCUACUACAUAUAUACUGACGCUAAUGGACGAAAGCGUGGGGAGCGAACAGGAUUAGAUACCCUUGUAGUCC
rnacentral:rRNA from 1 species